CUUUUUGUAAAAAAUUUAAAGUCUAACCUGCCCAAUGAUUAAUUUAAUGGCCGCGGUAUCUUAACCGUGCAAAGGUAGCAUAAUCAUUAGUUUUUUAAUUGAAAGCUUGUAUGAAGGGUUGAAUGAGAAVACAGCUGUCUCUAAUUAAUUUAAUUAGAAUUUUAUUUUUAAGUGAAAAAGCUUAAAUAUAUAUUGAAGACGAGAAGACCCUAUAGAGUUUAAUAUUAAAAUUGUUUUGAUCUUUUAGGAUUAAUUGAUCUUAAUUUAUUUAGUAUUUGAUUGGGGUGAUCGAAAAAUUAAAUAAACUUUUUCUUGUAUAAUCAUUAAUUUAUGAAUAUUUGAUCCUUAUAAAGAUUAAAAGAUAAAAUUACCUUAGGGAUAACAGCGUAAUUUUUUUUAAGAGUUCUAAUCGAAAAAAAAGGUUGCGACCUCGAUGUUGGAUUAAAAUGAAAUUUUGGUGUAGCAGCUAAA
rnacentral:rRNA from 1 species